CUGGAGCCGGUGAGUGCUGGGCGCUGGGAAGAGACAGCGCCGCCGGCCGUGGGGGAAGGACGCACAGAUUUGCUCCCCUACCCUCAGCACCCCACACACACACACCCAGCACCAGGUACCCGUACCUCCCACAUCCUCACCUGGCUGAGCCGCAGUAGUUCUUCAGUGGCAAGCUUUAUGUCCUGACCCAGCUAAAGCUGCCAGUUGAAGAACUGUUGCCCUCUGCCCCUGGCUUCGAGGAGGAGGAAGAGGAAGAGAAGGAGCUGCUUUCCCCUUCAUCUGGAAGUGUCUCUGUCUAGCCCUGGGUAUGUGGCUUUGUGAUCCUCACCCAUCAUGGAGCAGCGAUGAGCAAGUGCAGCUUGGGAACACAGAGGCCUGGAGAGGACAGGGACCUGUUUGGGCAUCUUGCAGAGGGUGCCCAUAUAGACGAGAAGUACACCAGGAGAAAGAACAGCCAGCCCCCAUCAUGGACAAGCUUCCAGUCCUGUACUUCAUUCACCAUUUUCCUGCAAUCUUUCUGCUUCCCUCAGAGAUGUGGGACCAUAUUAUAGUGUCUGGCUUGUGGCUCUAUACUCCUACUUCCACUUCUCGAUCACCCUCUAAUUUUUGUAUAAGCAGUCUCCAUGAGGAAGAGCCAGCUGUAAAAGGACAUACAAAGGAAAUUCUUAAAAUAAAUUCAAGGAUAAAUUCAUGAAAAAAAAAAUGUGUGUGUUUCAUUAGUAAUUAAAGAAAAGCAAAUAAUGCUGAAUGCAUUUUUUCCCAUAGCAAACUAUAACAGAAGAAAUAAGACUCAAGUUAUUGGCAAAGGAGUACUAAAAUAACACUCCCAUAUAAUGCAUAUGGGGAUACAAAUUGGUGAGACUCCCUGGAUAUCAGUCUGGUAAUAUAAACCAAACACCCUGAAUUUUUCAGUGGCCUUUGACCAAGUGAUUCUACAUUGGGGAAUUUAUCUAAAGAAAAUAAAGAUUCAGUUAUAAGAUGUUCAUCCUGCCAUUGCAAUAGAGAAAAAUGGAAAGCAACUGUCAGACUGGGAAUUCAUUUCUUUUCUCCUGUAAUGAAAAUUCACAGUAGGGGAUUGCCUAAGUAAAUUAUUGUAUAUCCAUCCAGAUGGUGGAGUACUGUGCAGCCAUUAAAAGUCAUGUAAAAGAACAUUUAACUGGGAAGAAAAAUGCUCUUUGAAUAUUAAAAAGGCUAUAAAAAUAGUGUAUAUUAUGUGAUCUCAUUUUUUAAAAAUACUUGUAUACAUAAAACAAACUGAAGACAUACUUCAAAAUGUUAAUAAUAGUGGUUAU